CAGAAGCAGUUUAUGAUAACAUACAAAAUAAACAAGAAAAAUUUAAACAUCAAUUAUGAUGUGAUACAAGAUUUGGAAGUUAUACAUAUCUGAAGAUACAAGUGAUUCAAUGUAAUCAUUUGUAGCAAUAGAAUGGAAGGAAAAACAUAUUUUAUAUUAGCUAAGAAAACAACAAAGAUAUUAACAGAAACAUUAAUAUACAUAUAAGAAGAAUAUAGAAAUAAAUAUAUAAAGAUGAUUAUAUAGCUCAAAAGAAGUCAGUUUUAAAGUUAGGAAGAAAAUCAACAUACGAUAUGAUAUUUAAAGAUGACUAUUUCAAUAUUUGUGGUAAACAUAUUAGCACAAAGUAGUAAACUUGGUAUAAAAGAACAAGAAAUAAUAUGUAGUAAGAAUUUAUACCAACAGAUACAUCAAAACAUUUUUUACAGUUUAGAUUUAUGCAACAAAAUUUGAGUGUAUCUAAUAAUUAUGAUAAAAUAAUAUUUGUAUACAUUGAUUGUAAGAAUAACGAAGACUAUGUUAGAAUAAUAACUCACUAAAAGCUUUUAAGUUAAAUGUUUUUAUCUUCUUUAAGAUAUUAAAUAUAAGAUAUGCCAAGUAUAUACACUCUCUCAUAUGAAUAUGAAUAUUUAAAAAUGAAUUAAGUUGUGUUAAAUUAACUUCAUUUAUAAUUAUUCAAUACAACAAGAAAUAUGUAGUUUGUCUUCAUAAUUGUUCAGUAGAAGUAUUUUUCUUAAUAUUUUUUUACAUACUACAAAUGAACUAAGGCCUCCAUUGUAGAAUUUUAGAAAACACUACAUUUAUGAAAAAAACUGAAAGAUUUCUUUUAAUUAAACUUUUUGUGAUUUUAGUUUAUAUUACACCAUUUAAUUUUUUUUAAAUAACUAACAAAAAUGACAAUCUACGUAGACAAUAGUAACAGUAAUAUUCAUACAAAAGUUUCUAUCACACACGCAGGCAACUAGAACUACACUGAAACGAUGAGGCGGGAAGCGAUUCUCAAGAGUCGAUAUAUCGAAUCAGUACCGCGCGCAAUAUUUGAAUUUGAACUGAUAAACGCAGAAAAAUUGAACUACUAUUUAUUAACAAAAGUGUAUAUUGUACAUUUAAUUAUUUAGAUUAAUAAAUUACUAUUAGCAAAAUUAUAUUAGAAUUUGAAGUGUGUGAAAAGACAAAGAAUA